UCUGUUUCAUUUUAUUGGUUGAAGUAGCCGUGUUGCUGGUCCCGCGGAGCUGCCCGCGGUCUGCGCUGGGGGUUUGCUUCCCAGCGGUGACAUUGAGAGCGUCCCUCUCUGUCCCGUUUCCCGCACGUUGGGGUGAGACCUGUGGGCGUGGCCAAAGGCGUGUCUUUGUUGGGGUGAGACCUGUGGGCGUGGCCAGAGGCGUGUCUUUGUUGGGGUGAGACCUGUGGGCGUGGCCAGAGGCGUGUCUUUGUUGGGGUGAGACCUGUGGGUGUGGCCAGAGGCGUGUCUUUGUCGGGGUGAGGCCUGUGGGCGUGGCCAGAGGCGUGUCUUUGUCGGGGCAGGAGCUCUCCGGGGCGGGGCGAGCUCACCACCUCCUGCAGCCACCCGGAGCCGGGUCGCUUCUCUCUGUGCGGUGUAGGUGGCCGCGAGGUCUACUCUGACAGGCCGGCUCUCUUGCUCCGGGUUGAAGUGGCGGCAUUCUUCUUCCGGAACCCCUCUUCACCCGUCGGCUGGAAGGCCUCCGGAGAGAAGCUUUCUGAGCCUCAAAAUAUAGAAGAAGAAUCGACAGACUUUAUAAGCAGAAAUCGACAAACCUGUGGUCAUAGAAGAUCGGACCGGCCUAUGGCAGUGAGGUGACACGUCAGGCGGAAAAUAAUUGGGGAAAUUAUAAAAAUACAGUCUGAGAAGAUGGCCUCAUAAAGCCCGCAGAACCGAGCACCCUGUGGAUCUCCGGGAACCGAUCGCUCACGUGCAUGUGUGUGUGUUUUAGGCCAUCAUGCUGACACCGCCAUGCCGGGUGGCUCGGGUCCGGUCCCGCGGGAUAGCAUUCUCUGACCGAACACCGCGGGCCGGAAAUCAGCGUUCCCUCCCCGCAAAAGGCCCUGAACUGCGUUUUUUAAAAAAAUUUUAACAUAUAUUUUAAAUUAUUCUAUAGGUUAAUGAAGAAAUAAAAAUAGAAAUGAC